UAUUAACAAGAUGUUUUUUUCUUAUGUUAUUUAGAUAUACAUAUAAGCUGUGUCCAUUUGACAAGGCAUCACAGACCUCAAAAAAUGGCGGUUCUGAUGUGUCACUUGGGUGAGUAACUAUUCAACGCUUUAAUGUAUUCCACGCGAUAGAUUAAUUUUAAGAACGACUUGAACGAAGCCUCCGAAAAACGAGUCACCACAAAAAUUGGAUUAACAUAAAAAAUGUUGCAGUAAUACUUUGAUUUCCUCUAUUGCCACAAUACUUGUGAACUAUAAAUACACUAAUGAACUAUUAAGACGAAUUCUUGACUAUUAAUUCCAAAGUGUUAUUGUCAAUGCGUUAUUGUCAACGUGGUCUUCAAAGCGUUAUUGUCAACGUUCAAGCAGGGGUGGAAAAAUCUUUUACUUUCUGGGAUGGCAAGAACUUCAUUGGAAAAUUUUCUGUGAAUAAUCAAGUAAAUCGACACUUGGACCCUGUAACUGUGAAACACUAACAAGUUGUCAAACUGAAUGUUAUGCUACAUUCUAAUAGAAAAAAUAAUUUCAGUGCACCGAGAAUCUUAAGACCUUUAGGAAUAUACCAUAAAACUAAUUUACAUAACAUGCAUCGGGAGUCAGAUCCUAUAACGUAAAUUUGCAGAUGCCAAAAAGCAGGGCUGCAUAAUAUAGCGGACCGCGGGACCAUUGGUCCCAGAAAAUUUUUGAGGUUGGCAGAAAAAAAUGGAGGGUGAAACUGAAAAGUCUGAAAAGAAAAAAGUAAAGAGAAAGAAAGAAAGGAAGAAAAUGAGAAAAAAUGACCUAAUUGAAUAAUAAGCUGUAAGUAGUGAACUAGUGAUGUUUGCAACAUGCAAGUAAUACAAGUUUCCAAUAUACCGGUACAGGCGGCUCUCACAGCCUGAUAUUAUGGUCAAAGACAGGCAGACAGCAGAUAUUAAGACGAAAUCCUCUAUGUGGUUGUUAAUAUGUAAUAUUUCAAAUCUGACUAUGAGGACUAGACUAGAUUUCAAGCCCGCGCAAUUUGAUCAAGUCCGAGGCGAAGCCGAGGACUGGAUCAAAAUGCAAGGACUUGAAAUCUAGUCCAGUCCGAAUUGGAGGAUUUGAAAUGACAUCUCAUACGAAUAAAUCACUACUUAAUUAGUUUGGAUCCAGUCCAUGCAAGGACUGAAUUAAUUUUGAUCCAGUCCUAGGACUGGAUCAAUGUACUUCAUCAGGUAGCCAGUAUUAUCAUUUGAGCAAAAUAAAGCAACAUGGUUGGCUAAUUUACUCAUGAAUUAUUAAUGAGUUUGAGAUAAUUGUUUCAUCUAGUUAGUGUAUUAGCUACUGCUGAAAAUACCACUCCAGUUAUAUAUGAAGACAACUCAUUUAACAACUACAGUAUGUGGAUUAAAAAGUCUGAGUGUAGUGAUUUCUUACAAUGUAGUAAAAUGUAGUAAAAAUCUAAGCAAUAUGUUCCAGUACACAACAGCCUUCCGCCCUUCUCAUGAACUUUCAUCCAUUAAUUAAGAUGAUAUUCAUAACAAAUAUAUUAAAAUUAUAAGAAUCUAGAAUCUUAAACUGCAGACAGUUCCCAGUGGUCACUUUCAAAUAUAAAUGUUUGUUGUUAAAUUAAAAUAUAAAGUAUAUUUAUUCCGUAGCCACGUUGAAAUACGUCUACUCUGCUGGCAGUGGUUUCGGAGCUGAGGAGAAACCACUGUGAGCAAACAAACGACUUUCUAUUGAGCAUGCACGAAGAUCACAGGGUGGGACAACACUAAUUUGACUUCAUUUGCUGUAGUUUAACAGUUUGUUAUCUGUAUGCAAACAAGUGUGGCAUAGUACUGUUUUCUUUGUUGUCUGUCUGACUUUUUAUUCUACAUGCAGUUCACAAUUUACUUCUAAAAGAUUUUGAAAUCGGUGCCUCACCCUACACCUACAAAUUGUGCAUUUGAAUUUCUGUUAUAUCUUUUCAAAUUUUUGUAUUUAUAUGAUCAAUUUUUUUAAUUUGGUCUGCAAACUUUAUUUGUGUUACUUAAACGUUGGAAAUUGUGUUAAGGUUUUCGAUAAAU